AGCUCCAGUAGCGUAUAUUAAAGUUGUUGCAGUUAAAAAGCUCGUAGUUGGAUUUCUGGCUUGAGACGCCUGAGCCGCCAGGGUUACCUGUGUGAGUCUCGGUGUGUCUCUGCCAUCCUUCUGGAUAGCGUGUCUACCUUUUAUUAGGCCGGGCUCGUGCUCCAGAUCUUUUACUUUGAAAAAAUUAGAGUGUUUAAAGCAAGCUUGCGCUAUGAAUACAUUAGCAUGGAAUAAUAACUUAGGACUUUGGUUCUAUUUUGUUGGUUUCUAGGACUGAAGUAAUGAUUGAUAGGGAUAGUUGGGGGUGCUAGUAUUCAGCGGCCAGAGGUGAAAUUCUUGGAUUCGCUGAAGACUAACUUAUGCGAAAGCAUUCACCAAGGAUGUCUUCU
rnacentral:rRNA from 1 species